rnacentral:rRNA from 1 species
UACGUAGGGGGCUAGCGUUGUCCGGAAUCAUUGGGCGUAAAGAGCGUGUAGGCGGUCCGGUAAGUCCGCUGUGAAAGUCGGGGGCUCAACCCUCGAAUGCCGGUGGAUACUGUCGGGCUAGAGUCCGGAAGAGGAGAGUGGAAUUCCUGGUGUAGCGGUGAAAUGCGCAGAUAUCAGGAAGAACACCAAUGGCGAAGGCAGCUCUCUGGGACGGUACUGACACUGAGACGCGAAAGCGUGGGGAGCGAACAGG